GUUUGCGUCAGCCAAAUUGUUGUUUACAUGUGCGUGUUGGGGUGGGUGAGUGUGACUCUGUGUGUGUGUGUUUGAGAGAGAGAGGAGAGACUGCUUAGAAUUAUCUCUCACAAAUCCUUCCAUGUUUACCUUCAUGACUAUCUUACAGCGAAAACUCUCCUGAAAGCAGAAAAGUGACCACCUCUCUCCUCUCUGGCCUGCGUGAGAUUUCCUUAGAUCUUGAGUCGCUUUCCUCUGUCUGACUCUCAUAUGGCCAAUGACCCAUCAUUUCCUUUUGCCUUAAGACAUAUUAAAACUCUCCCUCUCUCUCUCUCUCUCUUCUCGGCAACUCCCUUUUCUUCUUCACCUGCCAGGAAAAUAAAUAUGGAUUAGGGUUUUGAACAACGCUACAACGCUUCUAAUUACUUAGAUUCUAGGGUUUCGUAGUAGUCUCUUCCACUAUUUUGUGCACUGUUUGUGGAUCCUAUAUUCUGCAGACAUGGACUACUACUAGCUGCUUGGAAGUUUCAUCACAAAUCAAUGGUUUCUUUCCUCUCUCUAUAUAUUGGUACUUAAGUAGUUUUUAUUGGGAUUGGGGGAUUUUACUCUCUUCUAGCUGCAGUACUUUGGUCUGAUAUUGUAUUUGGUCAUUUGAAUUUUGUUUAAAUUGAUUUAGUCUAAAGCAGAAAAUGGGUUUUAUUUGUAAGAUUUAAGUCUGUUUAUAUUACUAUUAGCCUCUUCUUUUAAGUGAUAUAGUGUUCUCGUAUGAUUAGGCCUCUUUGUGUUUCAGUUUGCUACAGAUUCACUUGUUAGCUUAGCCUCCUCAAAGAACGAAUUUUUUUUUUUUGAACUGUAAAAAAAUAUGCCAUCUUCUAUUUAAAUUCACUUAACGAGUUAUUUUUCAACUGUAAAUUUAUAUGCUCGUGAUGAAACUUGGGUUCUUAAUCAGUAAACUACUCUAGAUUUCUGAAAUAGACAGUCUUAAUUUAUUUUAGCCUUCUGGGAGAAUCUGAGACAAACAUAACUUUUAAAUUGUGCGUGUUGGACCUACUCAAUGAAUUAGAAAAUUUUGUGGGUAGUGAUAAAUAGCCAUAUUUGGGACUGAGAAAAGAAUUCGCACUUUCUGAAUCUAUAUAUCUUUACCUAUUUAGAUCUUCCCCUUUCCCCUUAAGAAUCCAUAGAAAGGAUUAGGGUUGCUCUUAAUUAAGCUAAACCUUGGGCAUUUUUUUAAUGGAAACAGCUCUCGAUAUAAUGAAAUAGCAAGCUAGCCCUCUUCCAUAUGAAAAUUUGACUAAACGAAUUCAAUGUCUCUUUUUUGGACUAAGAAUUCAAUAUGUGUUUGUUUUUUAUUUGCAGAUGCUGAUGUUGCUUUCAUUGAUUUCAGUUCGUCGUAGUGAAAGUGGUGCAGUUACAUGGUGGGUUUAAUUUACAUGAGCUUAAUUUAUUGGUUUCUAUGAAUGUCAGAAAGCAACUUUAAAGUAGUAGUACGACGAAUUGAAGGAGUGAAUGUGUAGGGCAGUAGAAAUUAAACUGUUGCAUGGUGGGUUUUGCUUUAUUUAUUGAUACAAAAUUACUAUCCAAUAUAUUAAUUAGGUCUAAAAUUACAUGGUGAGUAAUGAAGAAAUGGUGAGAGAGAGCUUUCCUCAGUCCACUCAUGGAUAGGAUUUGAUAGGGUUGUCGAAGUAGCUGCCGACUCAUUCACUCAAGCACUCAGUAGAGAUUAAAGGAGUAUCCGGUCUUAUUACUUUCCUUCAUUCCUGCUGCACAUUCAUAUAUGUUGCUCUCAGAUGUGGCACUUUCGGACCGGACUAGAAGCGGCUGCAGAUGGACCAUCAUCGAAUGUGGGACUUAUGCCUUUCCGAAAUCAUCAGACAAUUUGCUACUGUGGUUGUGUGAAUGAUGCGGGAGAUAUUUUACAUCCCUCUUUCUCUGCGCUUGGACUGAAGGGAGCUCCUCCUUUCCAUUCUCUCCACUUUUCUCCUUACUUUAGUUAAGGUUUAGCUGCCAAAAUUUUAAUUAGUUUCAUAUGCUUAUAUUUCAGUUAAAAGAGUUGAUCAUUAUCAUCGUAUCAUCGUCACUCUUUCCCAUAUCUUACGUGCUUAAGUUAAGUGAUGAUUAACCAUUUGAUAUUCUCUCGCGAGAAAUACUGUUAGCAACUGUCAAUCUGACCCGUUGAUUAGGUGGUCUCUUGUUGAAAAGUGUAGUUCAAAUUUAUAGUUCGGCAAGUAAAUUGUCGGAUGUAUACAUGCACUUGUUUUGUUUCAAUAGUAAAAAGCCCGUCCUGAAUUUCGGACUGGGAUCACCUCCUAAUCUCAGCUUUCGGAGUAAACUGAACAAAACAUCUCAUCCUUCCAUUUUCAUCUUGCUUUGUUUUGUGUGAGAAUUUUUAAAUGUUUAAAUUUAUUUUUGGUCAUAGUAUAAAAAAUGGAAGAAUGGGAUGCUUUGCACAGUUUGCUCUGGAGGUGUGAUCCGGAGAUGAUCCCAGUUACUGAACUUCAUGGGUUCUACUUUCUAGUAGGUGUACUCUAGCUAGGACUAAUGAAGGGGCCUACGUCGAGUGCCUUCUCUUGUCCAUUGAGUUGAUCACAGCUUUCCCAUUGUCCUCCUGUAAUCAGUUUACCCAGUCCCUUUCAUUUCCUCUACUUUUUUCACCCGACAAGUAAAUCUUGGUCAGGUGCUUUUAUCUCUAUUUACCUUCCCAUUUUUCUAGAUAAUGUUUUCAGUCAGUAACUUUUCCCUUUUCCUCAUGUACUUCAAAGUUCAAAUCAUGUGCAUGCCAUGCCAGUAACAUGCAGCAGCAUCAAGCAUUGCAUGUAUAUUAGCCAAGCAUUCACCAUUCAUAACAUUUCACUGAAAAUUUUCCAUGAAUCUAUGCUCUUUUUUUUAGGUUACAGGAAAUUGCGUUUUCUGCAAUAUUGGCCAAGCAUUGCUCUGCUUAUUUGUGUGUGUGUGUGUAUACGUAUAUACGUAUUAUAUAAAUAUAUAUAUUUAUGUAUAUUUGAGGCAGAAGGCCUCGGUUCUCUCAUUCUUGCAUUGCAUGUGUUCAUCGAAAGACGUACCUUUUGUCACAUUUUUAACUUCAUCUGGAGUUGAGCCGUCCGGUCUUCUAUGCUGUCUUGUCUUUCGUUGAUUUAUUAUUAAUUUUUAAUUACAGCGAUUUAUCUAGUAAUAGAAGAUGCUUAAUCCGUACUUAACCAAAUACUUUAAAAAUAAUUGCCAUAUUUGUGGAACAAAUAAGGAAAUUAAAGCCAGCAUUUUAUAUAUUCGAAUCAAAGCUUUGUUGGAGUUGGGUCUGGUUUUUUUUAGUUAUUUCUGGAACUGGACUGUGAGUGGUGUUUAAAGUUUGAUUAUGUAGCGAUGUGAUGACUGUAUAUUUCCAUAUUUGGAACGAAUGGAGUUCAUGCCUUAAGUCCUCUUUUGGAAAUCAGCUUUUGUUUUAAGGCAAAUUGCAGAGACAAGCUUGGAGUGCGUCCACUAAUAUCUGUAGAAUGUGCUGCAGACUGAACUAGGUUGUUUUAGCAUUGUGAUCCUUUUAUUAUUUAUUUUUCUUUAGGAGUUUCAAGUUCCAAUGUGGUUGAUGCAGCUCCAGUACUGUCGUUUAUUAGGAUCAAGUUCAAAUUUAUUGUUUUAUUAUGGACUAUAAUUUAAGUUAAGUUUUGAAAGAAAUGCUAGAGAAUCUUUUCAAUAGUAAGGUAUUUCAUGGAUUCUUUAUCGUCUCAUAAUAUAAUGUUAAUUUUAUAUUAAUAUUAUAAAAUAUUGUGUAAAAAAUAUGAGUGGGUAGAGCGUCAAUGGAGUCUCCUUAACAAUACUCAUUCUGUAAAUUAUAUGACCUAAUUGUUGAUGAUUGAAUUAUUACCUAAGUUUUGAUUAACAUGCCUAUUUUAUGUAUGUGACUUAUAAUAUGGUUUACAAAUUUGGUUUGAAAAAUAAUCAAAACUCAUUAUUUUCACCAUUUACACCAAUCUUUUUGUGUGUUUUUUUUUUGGGUAAUGAUAAAUGACCAGUAUUUGCUGGUGGUAAUUCAAUUAUAAAGCAGUUAAGAACAUAGAAUUUUUAGGGUUUGGGGUUUAGAAAGAAUAUUAAAUGAUGAAAAUAGAAAAUAUAAUUUUAAAUACAAUAUUGCUAGUCUAUUAAGAGACUAACUAUAUCUCAUUUCCCUUAAUGUGGAUAAUAUCGUUUGUUUAAAAAACAAAAAAGACUUGCAAUUUGAAAAUGUGAGUACAAGGUUGCUAGCAUUUUCAUAUAGGCCAAAUCGGAUUAAUAGUCUUCGUGGUCAUAGGGUAUUCGGAGGAUUGCCUAUGUGGUAAAAAAAUUAGGAUUUAAAUUCUUGUGGUGAAGAUUAUUAGCAAAAUUAACCUAAAAAACAAACUUGUGUCCAACUUAGUUAAGUAUAAGGAUAAAAAUGUCCAACCACACUCUUUAUUUCUGCUAGCCUUCUGUUCCUCUCUCUCUCUGUCUGUGUAAUUAUACAUCCACGAUGCAAUGCAAGGCCACGAUCGGAUCAAAUGCAGUAUCUCCACUUCCAAUUCCACCUUUGAUAGUUCCCCGAAGCUUCUCCAUACCUUCAAGCAGUCAAAGAGCAAUGGCAUUGCAUGUAGCAAGACAUUUGGAGUCUCCUUAAGUUCCAGGCAAGGCUGAAGAAGUUGUUUCACCUCCAUUGUCGCCAAUUUCCCUAUCAAACCUCAAACCAGUAUCAAAUGUUUCUGAAGUGGCCUCUCAAUCUAGUCCGAUUCGAGCUGAUGAACUGGGAUUUGUUGGUUCUCAAUCUAGUUCGAUUCUAGGAAGCUCAUGAAGCUCGCUUAUCUUGGGUGAAGAAACAAGGGGAGGUGAAGCACAAGGGGAUACCUUUGGAGAUGAAGAAGGUUGGGGAUUUGGUAAAUGAGAUAGCAUUCCGGAAACUAGUUGUGGUAGUUCAGCUCGCGAGGAGACGCGUGUUGAUCCGAUCGUGGCCUUGCAUUGCACUGUGGAGGUAUAAUUACGCAGACACAGAGAGAGGAAGAGAAGGCUAGCAGAAAUAAAGAGUGGUUGGACAUUUUUAUCCUUAUACUUAACUGAGUUUAACAGAAGUUUGUUUUUUGGGUUAAUUUUGCUAAUAAUCAUCACCACAAAAGUUUAAAUUCUAA